rnacentral:lncRNA from 1 species
GGAAGAGUGAAAAAGGAUGUGGGAUUCCACUGCUGUUUAUAGCUGCAAGCCAUUCCACUCAAGGAACAAGUCGUCUCUGGAAAGCAAGACCAAGCCAUCAGCUUGUGAGCUAGGUGAUUUCUGGCUUCAACAAACGCUGGGCUGGAACUUGAACCCUUUGAGGUGCUGAGAUUACAGCACACUACAUCUAGUUGGACUGGUAUUUAUACAGAAUGGAGUCUCUCAGCUACGGAAACCAUUGACUGGACAGCUCAACAUUCCACUCCUGUUGUAUCUCAUAUUGCCACCAGGAGGCGCCAAACACUUCUAAGGUCCUUGCAACAAGACUAAGGUUUGGAAUAUGGUCCUAACACAGGGCACGGUGGAGCACACCUGUAGGCCCUGGAAUAAGGUGACGAGGAUGGGGAAGACGAGUUCCAGAGCAGCCUGGUGGGCUACAGAGCUAGGCCCUCAAAAAAAAG